AAGAUGAAAAGCACUUUGGAAAGAAAGUUAAAAGACUUGAAAUCGUUGAGGCGGACCCGGUAGAAAUG
rnacentral:rRNA from 1 species